UCAUUCUAUAUUUCUCACCCCCACAAGCCAAACCAUUCUUCUACAGAAAAAAAAAAAAAAAAAAACCUCCUCUCGUUCCUUUCUUUGUUUCCACCGGCGCCGUCCUCAUUUCUCUCCUUUGAACCCAUAAUUCUUGCACAUAUAGCACCAUCUCAGGCCGAAGUGUUUGUUUUUUCAGUCCUCUGUUCUGUAAUGGCAACGGCACCGGUCAAGUCACAGCCACUGCAUUAUUUCUCUUUACCCCAGUUGAAAUGGGGCCAAAAAAGCCACACUAACACCAAUCACCGCUUCCGCCGCCGCGAGUCUCCUUCAUCUACAGCCGAUAACCACCUCAACCCACCCCAAACCACCGACUUGAACGGUGGUUCUGACUCCGACAAGCUCCCAGUGGAAGAACAAAGACAAGACGAACAUGUAGAAGAAGAAGAAGAAGAAGGGCUAAAAGAGGAAAAAGUGUUGUGGAAUUUAAGGCCAAGAAAGAGUGUAAUGAAGGUGGGGUUAGAGGCUGAAACGGCGCCGUUAAAGAAGAACGUUGAAAUGGAAGUUGAAAGCAGUAAUCAUAUAAGGUCGCAGAGGGUGAGAGAUAAUAACGUGGAUAAUGGGCAUGGAUUCGGGUCGGGUAAGAAAGAGAAAAAGAAAAAGUUAUGGAUCUCGUUGUCAAGGGAAGAGAUAGAGGAAGAUGUGUAUUCUAUGACUGGGUCAAGACCCGCUAGGAGGCCCAAGAAACGAUCCAAGACAAUUCAAAAACAACUCGAUAAUGUUUUCCCUGGAAUGUAUUUAGUAGGUCUCACGGCUGAUUCGUUCAGAGUUAAUGAUACUACGAAGUAGAUAUGGCAUAGCUGGUGUAUCCAAACUUUUCCUUCUCUGGCAAAAGAUUUUGCAAGGAUUGAGGAACCAAGGGGGAAAGCUUAGAGCUUGAGCAUUGCUGCAUUCAUGCCUCAAUUUUGGAGUGGAGAUGCUGCUUGCUUUCCUAUAUUGGGGAGGAGAUCUCCAGUUUGUCUGGAGCUACACAUGACAAAGGGAAAGGAAACACAAUGUGAAGAUGAAUAGGUCUUGGGUGGGUGAUCCCUCUUGCCUUUCAAGGGCUGUUGUUUGCCUGCCUACAGAGAGGAACUUAGUCUAUGAAUCCAUCCACCGGAUCCUACUUCUUGUAGCACUUGGUAGGUUGCUCCAAUACUUGGCUUAUGUUAAGGUAGGAUUCCUUUUUACUACUACUGUUUUUGUUUUAAUCAGGACGACUCCUUUUUACUACUUAUGGUAUUUUUCCAUCUAUAGCUUGGGAGUGUUUUAUUGAUUUCUGGUGAACUAAGAGUUGUUAAGGAAUAAGUUCAUUUUUCCAACGAGUGAUGGAUGCCAGUUUUAGUUAGUGCACCUAUUUAUUUUCUUGUCGGUUGAUGUAUGGAAGGCUUACGUUUUAUGGCACGACGUCUAGAUUAUAGAUUGGAUUUUCUCGUAGAAAGAGGCAAUCCAGUGCAUUAAGCUUUGCUAUGUGCAUGGUUGGAAAAGAGGACGAGAACCACAUUGGGUCCACUUGUAUGCAAUUUUAUUUUGCAUUUUUUCAAGAAAGAUUGUUUCUCGGUUUGAA